rnacentral:tRNA from 2 species
GGGCCUAUAGUAAAAUGGUAUUACGUAUCCAUGGCAUGGAUAAAGUGCGAGUUCGAUUCUCGCUAGGUCCA